GCCUCAGGGGCUCAGUGGGUUGAGCGUCCGACUUCUGCUUGGGUCAUGAUCUCGCAGUUCGUGGGUUCGAGCCCCGCAUUGGGCU
rnacentral:tRNA from 1 species